CACGUAGGGGGCAAGCGUUAUCCGGAAUGAUUGGGCGUAAAGCGUCUGUAGGUGGCUUUUUAAGUCCGCCGUCAAAUCCCAGGGCUCAACUCUGGACAGGCGGUGGAAACUACCAAGCUGGAGUACGGUAGGGGCAGAGGGAAUUUCCGGUGGAGCGGUGAAAUGCGUAGAUAUCGAGAGGAACACCUGCGGCGAAGGCGGGUUGCUGGGCUGACACUGACGCUGAGGCGCGAAAGCUAGGGGAGCGAACGGG
rnacentral:rRNA from 1 species